rnacentral:lncRNA from 1 species
UGCCAUUUUAACCUUUUAGACAUUCUACUACCUGACCUCCGCCUUUAAAAUGUUUUCCCAAUAAUGUUUGAUACUCUAAAUACAUGUUAAAACUAUUUUAACUUCGCUGAAGUUAAAAUAGUCUGAACGGUUGGGGCUGUUCAGAUUGUAUAUUUGUAGCAGUUAUUUGCCUCCAGUCUCAGUAUCACUUGUCAUACUCAGAGAAAACACAUUCUUAUGACAGAAAUUGCAGAAAGAAGACAAACACUUCAUUUCCAGGCCCAAUUUCAAUGUGAAGACCCCCUCAAAUGCCUAAACUGCAGCGGACUUUCCUAUCACGGUACAGAUUAUACUAUCCUGAGUUUUGGGGGCGUUCCUUGUUUUGUUGUUGUAUUUUGUUUAUUUGGGUUUUGUUGUUUUCGUUUCUGUUUGUUUUGGCUGGGUUUUUUUGGUUGUUGUUGUUGUGGUGGUGUUUGGUUUUUUUUUUAAUAAUGGGUAUGUUUCAGCAGCAUGUAAUUUUUAAAGGCUUCUCAUCUACUCUCCGUGCACGCUUCUCUUCUGCCGUGAGUUUUGUAAGGGUGUAUCAGAACGUGGCGAUGUAUCUCUUUGCGCCCAGAAGAGAGACUUCCAGCUUCUGGCAAGCUCCAGACGAGCUGCAAACACACACGAACGCAAACGCAAACACACACACACACGCAAACACACACAGGCAAACACAUAAUCACACAAACAUACACACAAACAGAAAUGCAAACACAAACGCACACAAACACACGCACACAGACGCUUUGCAUUCUUACAGCACUUCCUUUUACACGGGCCGUCUGGAAGCGGGAAAACAACUCUUAUUUCCACCGUAUUUUCUGUUAACGAGAACUUAUUGUUGCCUUCCACCUUCGGGCGGGGGGUGCCGGAUGACUUUCCCCGUUUCCAUUCCCCGGGCGGUGGCUAAGCUGAGGGCCCGGCGGAGCCGCCUUUUCCGGGGGGCGGGGCAAGGCCGGCGCCGGUUCCGGCGGGGCGGGAGCGGCUGCGGGGCCGACAGGAGCCGGGCGGGCACCCGGGCAGUGCUGGGGCUGGGUUCGGCACUGCCGCUGCCCGCC